GUGAGGAAUAUUGCGCAAUGGAGGCAACUCUGACGCAGCCAUGCCGCGUGCAGGAAGAAGGCGCUACGCGUUGUAAACUGCUUUUAACCGGGAAGAAACCCCAGGACGUGUCCUGGGUUGACGGUACCGGAGGAAUAAGCACCGGCUAACUUCGUGCCAGCAGCCGCGGUAAUACGAAGGGUGCAAGCGUUAUCCGGAUUCAUUGGGUUUAAAGGGUGCGUAGGCGGAGCGUUAAGUCAGUGGUGAAAUCCUGCAGCUUAACUGUAGACUUGCCAUUGAUACUGGCGCUCUUGAGUGCGCUUGAAGUGGGCGGAAUGUGCCGUGUAGCGGUGAAAUGCUUAGAUAUGGCACAGAACACCAAUUGCGAAGGCAGCUCACUAAGGCGAUACUGACGCUAAGGCACGAAAGCGUGGGGAUCGAACAGGAUUAGAAACCCUAGUAGUCC
rnacentral:rRNA from 1 species